GGUGGCUCAGUGGUAGAGAGCUUGCCUUGUGUGCAUGAGGGCCUGGGUUCGAUUCCUCAGCACCA
rnacentral:tRNA from 1 species